rnacentral:rRNA from 1 species
AUUGAACGCUGGCGGCAUGCCUAACACAUGCAAGUCGAGCGGUAGAAGGUCUUCGGCUCCUGACUUCAGCCGCGGGCGUGUGAGUUACGCCUAAGAAUGUGCCUGGGUGGGGGGUAUAACGGCGAGAAAUGUGCGCUAAUACCGCAUACUUCCUGGAUGAGAAAGGGGGAGAUCUUCGCACCUCGCGUUAGCAGAUGAGCCUAGGACAGAUUAGCUAGUUGGUGGGGUAAAGGCCUACCAAGGCGACGAUCUGUAACUGGUCUGAGAGGAUGAUCAGACACACUGGAACUGAGACACGGUCCAGACUCCUACGGGAGGCAGCAGUGGGGAAUAUUGGACAAUGGGCGAAAGCCUGAUCCAGCAAUGCCGCGUGUAGGAUGAAGGCCUUCGGAUUGUAAAGCGCUUUAGUAUGGGAGGAAGGGGAGUUAGUUAAUACCUGGCUGACUUGACGUUACCGAAAGAAUAAGCACCGGCUAACUACGUG